AGAUGACAGUGGGAAGGAGCUGGGGACAGAGGAUGACGUUGAUCCUGAAGACCUGGAAGUGUUUUACCCCACGGGUCAGUGGCAAACCCUGCGUCCAGGUCAGGCUGUUCCUGCAGGGUCACACGUGCGGCUGAACCUGCAGACAGGAGAGAGAGAAGCCAAACUCCCGGACAGAGAAUAUGGGGAAGGUGACACGAGAGAAGAGAGAAGAAGAAAAAGGCUGGGCAAGGUUGAUCUUGAUGCAAAUUCAUUCACAUCUGAGGAGCUUAAAAAGGC